GGGAACCCUGAUGCAGCCAUGCCGCGUGUGUGAAGAAGGCCCUAGGGUUGUAAAGCACUUUCAGUAGGGAGGAAAGGUAGUUGUUUAAUAAACAACUGCUGUGACGUUUCCUACAGAAGAAGGACCGGCUAACUUCGUGCCAGCAGCCGCGGUAAUACGAGGGGUCCAAGCGUUAAUCGGAAUUACUGGGCGUAAAGCGUACGCAGGCGGUUCAUUAAGCCAGAUGUGAAAUCCCCGGGCUCAACCUGGGAAUUGCAUUUGGAACUGGUGAACUAGAGUCUUGUAGAGGGGGGUAGAAUUUCAGGUGUAGCGGUGAAAUGCGUAGAGAUCUGAAGGAAUACCGGUGGCGAAGGCGGCCCCCUGGACAAAGACUGACGCUCAUGUACGAAAGCGUGGGGAGCAAACAGGAUUAGAUACCCUGGUAGUCCACGCCGUAAACGAUGUCUACUCGGAGUUUGGUGCCUUGAGCACUGGGCUCCCAAGCUAACGCAUUAAGUAGACCGCCUGGGGAGUACGGCCGCAAGGUUAAAACUCAAAUGAAUUGACGGGGGCCCGCACAAGCGGUGGAGCAUGUGGUUUUAAAUUCG
rnacentral:rRNA from 1 species